GUCAUAUCUAAGAUUAUAAUGUGGGAAUAUAUGAUUGUUACUGUCGAUCACGAGUGAUUGAACUUGAGAUUAAAUUAGCAUUUCUUUAAUUGAAUGUGUGUAAAAUGCAAUCUGUUAAGUUGCAUAAAGCUUAGAUGACCAAGAAAGGAACCCAAUGAGACGAUGAAAUAGUUACAAAACCAAGAAUUUCGACAAAAAUAAAUUCACAAAAUAUUUUUUCUUUGGUACAAAAACUCACAAAAUAAUUAAAAACACAUGGUACUUACAUUUGAUGUAAACUGCACACUUGC
rnacentral:misc_RNA from 1 species